UGGGGAAUAUUGGACAAUGGGCGCAAGCCUGAUCCAGCCAUGCCGCGUGAGUGAUGAAGGCCCUAGGGUUGUAAAGCUCUUUCACCGGUGAAGAUAAUGACGGUAACCGGAGAAGAAGCCCCGGCUAACUUCGUGCCAGCAGCCGCGGUAAUACGAAGGGGGCUAGCGUUGUUCGGAUUUACUGGGCGUAAAGCGCACGUAGGCGGACUUUUAAGUCAGGGGUGAAAUCCCGGGGCUCAACCCCGGAACUGCCUUUGAUACUGGAAGUCUUGAGUAUGGUAGAGGUGAGUGGAAUUCCGAGUGUAGAGGUGAAAGUCGUAGAUAUUAGGAGGAACACCAGUGGCGAAGGCGGCUAACUGGACCAUUACUGACGCUGAGGUGCGAAAGCGUGGGGAGCAAACAGG
rnacentral:rRNA from 1 species